CAGCCGCCACGGUAAUACAGAGGGUGCGAGCGUUAAUCGGAUUUACUGGGCGUAAAGCGUGCGUAGGCGGCUUCUUAAGUCGGAUGUGAAAUCCCUGAGCUUAACUUAGGAAUUGCAUUCGAUACUGGGAAGCUAGAGUAUGGGAGAGGAUGGUAGAAUUCCAGGUGUAGCGGUGAAAUGCGUAGAGAUCUGGAGGAAUACCGAUGGCGAAGGCAGCCAUCUGGCCUAAUACUGACGCUGAGGUACGAAAGCAUGGGGAGCAAACAGGAUUAGAGACCCGAGUAGUCCCUGUCUCUUAUAA
rnacentral:rRNA from 1 species